UCCCUGGUGGCCUAGUGGUUUAGGGUUCGGCAUUGCCAUUGCUGUGGCUUAGUUUCAAUUCCUGGCCUGGGAA
rnacentral:tRNA from 1 species